CAAAAGCCAGUUUCUCAAUGACAUCAUCCAACAGGAAGUGAUGUCAUUUUGGAGGGAAAUCAGCUGUACAAACAUCAAGUAACUGUGAUUGGAUGGCCUUCUCCUGCAGUGCUGCUGUAAUCCAGUGGGAGGAGCUUCUGCAGAUCUCCAGCUGUCAAUCAAAUGGAUGGAUGCUGCUGUUCUUAGAGCACGAUGAAGCACACCAGGAUGUUUCCCAGCAUGCACAGCGAGAAGAUGAGCACAUAGGCCAGGAUAAUGACGGAGGCCACGGCGAGGGAAUGCUGGUAGAACGGUAAGAACGUG